GGUGAAAGGCCCCCUCGCCGUAAGCCCAAGGUUUCCUACGCAACGUUCAUCGGCGUAGGGUGAGUCGGCCCCUAAGGCGAGGCAGAAAUGCGUAGCUGAUGGGAAGCAGAUUAAUAUUUCUGCACCAGUGUGAAAUGCGAUGGGGGGACGGAUCGCGGAAGGUUGUCCGGGUGUUGGAAGUCCCGGUCCUUGCAUUGGAGAAGGCGCUUUGGCAAAUCCGGGCGC
rnacentral:rRNA from 1 species